GUUACCAAACUCGUUUAAAUGCGGUUUCCUCGGGGAAAGAUAUGCACGAACGUCACCACCGUCGCGCGUUUGUGUUCGUAGUGAUGUCGUAAACCAAUCGGUCCGCGAUCACGCACACGCACACACGUACCACAGAAAGAAGCGAGAGCGGAAAAAGCGAUGAAACGAGAGCGAUAAGGAGAACGAAUCGAAGGAAGGAGGAAGGGAAUCCAAUAUAACUGCACACACGUUUAUAGGGUCGAUGGGAAUAUAUUGGAGCGGAUAUUGAAAUACUUGUUGGUAGUUUGAGUCGAAGGCGAGAGAUGCCUUUCUCGAUGCCAUCUUGAUUGCGCAAUCGAGGCAUCGGUCCACGAGUACAGAAUUUAACGAUAAAGAUCGUACGGAUUAUAGAAUCCUAGACGGGGAACAGAGUCCCCUUCCUAUCUAUCCUCCUUUCCCGGGUUCUGUGCCUUUAUCGGUAUUACGAGCCUCAACCCCUCGCUGUUUACGAGAAAACCGCAUCGUUCCGUUAAAUGAAACCGAUAUUAUGUCAUCACGGUUACAGUUGGUUACUUAACCUCACUAUUCCUUUUCUGGAAGUUUCUUAUUGUAAAUCAAGUAUAUUCAUAGUUUUCGUUCAUUUACAGAAACGGAAAUGUUAACAAAGCAAGGAAGAGAGAAAAAUGUGCACCAACAAUUACAGUUUAUAUUAAGAGGACCGUCGUUUCACGCCCUUUGCAUACUUUCCUUUCUCAUUCACGAAAGAUAUGUAUUCAGUCUUGUACAAUAAUCGCUUCGUAUUUCUUGGAAUAAAGAGUCUUUGAACGAAGUAACUGUUCUUGCAUUAGUUUCAAAAAUAACAAUGAACACGAAUGGAAACAUGGUGAACACAAGAAUUUCAAAAAUAACAAUGAACACGAAUGGAAACAUGGUGAACACAAGAAGUAAUUACAAUACGGGUAGUCUUUUACAGUUUCUGAAACGGAGAAUUUCCUGCAUAAUUCUAUAUUACAAAAACGAAGAGGGAUUAAGGAGGAAGAUAGAAUUCUGGAACGCGAACGAUUCUGUCGAACGGAAAUGCAAUUCGCAGCGGCGCCGGUAGUCGAGUCUCAGCUCGAGUCGACAGAUAGAUAGAGUCAAGAUUCAAUUAGCUCUAGCUGUCAACUGCAUGAUACUCAUCGAUUCAAUACACCUUCUCGUUUGUGUGCCCCCGCACAUGCUUCUUUCUCGUGCGUGUUUGACUGCGUGAGCGAGCGCGCGCACGCGACCGUACGCCAGUUCAGGUUUCGCGUUUAGUCUCGUUACGUUUUGCACACCCGAACUCCUCCAUGUGUAUGUGUGUCAUCGUAUACCUGUACUAUACAUACGUGUUUGAUCACGUGAAUGCGCUUAGUACACGCGUGCAUGCUGAAAAUUAACCCGGUCGGGCAAAUCGUGAAUUUUGGAAAUGAUUUUACGGUCGCGGCAGAGUGCGAGGGAGUACAUAAAUUUUCGACGAGCUCGAUUUCACCGAAUAAUGAGACAGACCAUCUGUCGUAAUAGAAGUACCAGUAAUAUUCAAAUUCCUGAUUUACCGUGUUUAAAGAACUGUGUUAUACAAAAAGAAAACAUUCUAGCUAGUCAGUUUUCAACUGUAGGUUAUGUUGAUUGAAUCAAUAUGAGAAAUUUUGUUGAAUUUGUUUUAAAUAUCUACUCAUUAUAUGGUUGAUGCUCAUUUAUAAUAAUGGUAUGUAGAAAGAAACGAUAUAAUAAGCUUGAAAGUUAAAAUAUUCAGAAUCGAUCUGCAUUGAUAUAGUCACAUUCAGAACAGAUGUUUUGUAAACACAUUUUGAAUCUUGGGUUACAAGGGUUACUUGUGAAUUGAUAUUCUGCUUAUCUUUAUAAUCUUUCAGCAAAACUAUAGAAUAUUACGACCUCUUGCUCAAUGACGAUAAUCAUCAUAUAAUGAAAGUUAAUCUAUAAUUCUUAAAGAUAUAAUUUCGAUUAACAUCGAGUUCGAUGCCCCCUUUAUAUUGAGUUUUUAAUUUUCUUGGUCCGACUAAAGUACACGGUUAAUAUAAUGUUUUAACAUGGUUUUAAUUGAUCAUCCGUUCGUAAGGAUUCGGAUCCGCUUUUGAAUGGUCGUUUUGAAUACGUGAAAGAACACCCGUGGAAUUCUGUGGUGACCGAUGUGCGUGUAGGUGAUGUAGGUAUCACUUAUCCGAGAGCGGGGCGAUACCAGCCAUUUUCAAUUUAUUUCAAGAGCCUUUUCGUGGCGGAGAAAAGAAGGGUGCCACGACUACCGGCAGAGAGAUACCUAUACAAACGACCUUCGACUUCUCUGCUUCCGACGACCACUUCCAUCGGCAGUCGUAACCAAUAGCCGUUUCACGAACCUGAUAUUAAGGUAUUAAAGUUAUUUCGAUUCGAAUAUCAUCGGACAACGUGUAGUCGAUGCUUACCAUUAUAAAUGAUCCAUCAAUAAUCAUAUACAUAUGCGAUUGAGAAAUCAAUCGAUAAUUAAACUAUGAUUAUGAUUAGUAACAUUAGGCUUAACAAACCCAUCAAAAUGAUGGAUUUUAGAUUUUUUGUUUUUACAGUUACUAAUGUAAUAUGAUCAUAAAAGAUAAAAACUGUUGAUAAGCCUAAUAUGCUUUUGGCGAAAUUAGUGUUUGCUUUUACUGAAAUAGAGAUAUGAUUAUGUAUACGCCUAUUUAUUUUCAUAAUACUAUUUUAAUUAUGAUUAUAUAUGUGUUCUUUACAGUUUAGUACAUAUUCUUUGUAUUUUUUGCAAUAUAUUAUAGAUCAUAGUUAAGUCUAGUAGGUUCUAGUGUUAACCAUUCUCGCAUGAACUUUAUUCUAUCUACUUUUAUUAUAUUUUAAACAAUAUGGAAUAGCUCCUAUACGAAUGAAAUUGCUUUAUUUUGUAAACUAUAGUACGCCCCAGUUUUAUUCAUGUUAACGCCAUUGGUAAGUCAUUUUUUUCGUGGCUGAAAUUUUAACGUGAAGAAUGUUAUUGUUUUAUUAACCUAAUAUAAUCUUCUAAAUAUUUUUUUAUUGGGCAAUAUAGAAAUAAUAAAGAAUAGAAUUGAGAUUGAAAGCCUUCUAUUACACAGAAUAUCAAAGUACAUAUACGAUUUCACUUGGCAAUUCCUUUUUAAUCACUUUUCAAAUGGUUAAUGAUACUCGCUUUUUGAUAAUAUGUAUUACGAAAUGACGGUUGAGUAGCUGCGCGCUUGAAAACCAUUUCAAACUAGAGUACUUAAAAACCUUCCAAUAUUCUCGUUAAUUUUCCUACAAACGCGCACUCGAGAUAUACAUACAAAAUAUGCUGGUAAAAUUAAACCAGCCGCUAGUACCAAAGCAGUGGUAAGUGUGAGCAAAAAAAGUCUGUGGAAAGAAGCAUUUUUUACGAAAAAAUCCUUGUGCACGCUUUAUUUUCUAUUCACGUUCGUUAACCGCAAAAUUCAAGCAAAAUACAGGAAUCUUCAAUUAUACAAAUAGGCAUCACAAUUACAGUAAAUACAUCUUUAUACGUGAAAAUUACAAUUUUUGCGUAAAAACAGAUUCUUUAAAUAACUUUCGAAGUUAUCAUAUUUUCAGUGCUCUCGUAUCAAUUUCUUUAUUCUUACUGAUUGUAGCUAUUGUAUACGGUAUAAUAGAUCGCUAUAUAGUUGGUAAAUUAACUAGAUUUAAUCAAAAAAUUAUUACAUACAUACAACUUUUAAUUUUUUUUUAUACUAAAUUCAAAUAUUGAUAGGAUUUUUCAUUCAUAAGAUGGAUGGAGUUUACUGAAGAUAUGAAAGUGAAAAUAUAAAAAUAUGAAAAUAUGAAUCAUUAUUCGCAUACAUGAUUUAUUGCUCCAAUUUUAUGCAAAAAUCUUUUUUUAUUUAUUGAAAGGAAAAUGAAAUUGAUAUAUAAAAAUUCAAGAUGAUACACAACGAAACAUGUAUGACAUACCUAGAUAUAUAAUUAUAAAGACUUUAAAGGCGAGGAUAAUUAAGUAUAUGUCGUAACCAUAAUUCAAUAUCAAUAAAAGUAAACAUUGAUAUUCUAAAAAACACUUUCAUAUUUAUCAUAAUUGUAAAAACAAUACAUUUAAUAGUAGUCAUUUUGACUGAUUUACUAGCUUUAGUAUCAAGUAUCUGGUAACUCGUUUUUACAAUAGAUAAGUCACAUAUGUGAUCAAAUUUCAUUUUUCAACUUUAUAUACUAGAAACAUACAAAUGAAAAAUACAUGAUAAGAAACGUGAAAACAGAAAGAGAGAGUGCAAGUUGGAGAGAGAGAGAGAGGGCGUUGCGGCCGCAGAAUUAUUGAACCCCAUUGCAAAUGUGGGAGAAC